rnacentral:rRNA from 1 species
CAGGCCUAACACAUGCAAGUCGAACGAAGGCUUCGGCCUUAGUGGCGCACGGGUGCGUAACGCGUGGGAAUCUGCCCAAAGGUACGGAAUAACUCUCCGAAAGGAGUGCUAAUACCGUAUGAUGUCGCAAGACCAAAGAUUUAUCGCCUUUGGAUGAGCCCGCGUAGGAUUAGCUUGUUGGUGGGGUAAAGGCCUACCAAGGCGACGAUCCUUAGCUGGUCUGAGAGGAUGAUCAGCCACACUGGGACUGAGACACGGCCCAGACUCCUACGGGAGGCAGCAGUGGGGAAUAUUGGACAAUGGGGGCAACCCUGAUCCAGCCAUGCCGCGUGAGUGAUGAAGGCCUUAGGGUUGUAAAGCUCUUUUAUCCGGGACGAUAAUGACGUAUCCGGAGGAAUAAGCCCCGGCUAACUUCGUGCCAGCAGCCGCGGUAAU